AUGGAAUCACCCGAUUGGCAGAACCAUACAGAAGCAAUAGCGCGGCGGAAGCAACACCAAGUACAAAUCAGAGUGGCGCAGCACAGCAGCGACCCAAACCCGAGAGAGAUGGCCGCGGCAGCUCACCUCCGUUGUCACAUCGUCUUCAAUUCGGCGAGCAACGCCCGGCGUCACACGCAGGCCUCCGCCCCGUCGCUCUCGCGCGGUCGCCUCCCAACGGCUCGAAAGCCUCCCGUGGCCGGCUGCCAGCGCCACGGCGUAGGGGCCUUGGAACUAGGCGACGGAGCGGCGAGGCGGCCGGCGCCGCGGUUCCUGUGCCUGCACGGGUUCCGCACCAGCGGGGAGAUCAUGCGGAGGCAGGUGGCCCGCCGGCGUCACGUCCCGCCUGGACCUCGCCUUCGCCGACGCGCCCUUCCCCGCCGAGGGCGACUCCCCGGUGCGCGGCGUCUUCGACCCGCCCUACUACGAGUGGUGCCACUUCGCCGGCGAGGUCAGUCCGGCGGGCCUCCGACAGACCAGGAUUUUUUGAAGUACAAGAACUUCGGCGAGUGCUUGGCCGGCAUCGAGGAGCUGAUGGUGAGACAAGGGCCGUUCGACGGACUGUUUGGUUUCUCUCAGGUGGGCGCCCUCCUGUCGGCCGCGCUUGGGUUGGCCUUGAACAUGGUUCCUAGGGUGAAGUACGUUAUGAUCAUAUCCGGUGCGAAGAUCCAAUCCCCGGCAUUGGCUGCCAAGGCGUACGCCAACAAGAUCAACUGCACUUCGCUUCACUUCAUUGGUGACGGUGACUUCGUGAAGGCCCACGGCGAGGAGCUGGCGGACUCGUUCGUGGAUCCACUUGUCAUACGCCACCCGGCCGGACACACGGUCCCCAGAUUCGACGAGAAGGGUCUCCAAGCGAUGCUCGGCUACCUUGACAAGAUUGAAAGGGAUCUGGCGAGAGAUUAAUCAAUUGUGCUGACCACCACUCUGUUUCAUGAGUUUAUGGCACAAUAGUGAUAUAACAUGGGUGGCUGACAUUUGAAGACCACGAUAACCGUUUGACACAAGACUGCAGAGAAGAGAAAAGUAUUAGGCUGUUACUAUCUCUAUUCCAGUGAAUAAGAAGCGCUCGCAUUUAUUUUAGAGAUUUAACGAAAUAGUGGAGACCGUGAACCAGCCAUUGGUUGGUGCAAUAAUAUAUAUUCAUUCGGCAGGAGACAGUUCUGAAGAUCACGGAAAUGCUGGGAGAAACGUAUGAAAGAGCAAAUAUAAACUUUUGGGUUGUGCUUAGGCCUUUUUAUUAUCACAGUACAGACGCGGAUGCUCAUACACAUGCACAUACACCCACCCCUGUCACGCACGUACGCACACCUUAUCCUUAUGAGCCUCUUUGAGAGUCCGAGCCGACACAUCAUCUUGUACUUAGGCUUGACAGAGGUUGUUGUCUGCCUCAUAUGUUCCUUGGCUUUCUUUUUAUUUUUGCCCUUUCUACAAUUUAUUUUCAUGUAAUAAAUGAAAAUCGACAAGGAGGCUCAUUGUUUCAAAUAAAAUAAAAUUGGGGGGAGACAAAGUUCACAUCAACAUUGUUUAACUCAAAACAUCGGUAAUGGUAUAACUCAAACUUGAUGCUUCGCCUAUGGCUCUAGUCUCCACAUGUGCGUGUGUGCGUGUACUCGGUGAUUCUAAAAAGUUUGAAUCAUUAUUCAAACACUCAAACACAUUUUUUUUUAAAUUUAAUAAUAUUCUCUUGAGCAUUCCUUUUGGGGAAUAAAGGCCAAUUUUGAUCACAUUCAUGCUGUGUGAUGCCUGCCGUGGAGGGUCCGUGGGAGCUGCC
rnacentral:rRNA from 1 species